rnacentral:rRNA from 1 species
GACGAACGCUGGCGGCGUGCUUAACACAUGCAAGUCGAACGGAAAGGCCUGCUUUCCCUUGUGGUUUGCGGGUACUCGAGUGGCGAACGGGUGAGUAACACGUGAGUGAUCUGCCCCCAACUUGGGUAUAAGCCUGGGAAACUGGGUCUAAUUCCCGAUAGGACUGCAGGGUGGUGCCUGUGGUGGAAAACGAUUUUCUAGUGGUUGGGGAUGAGCUCGCGGCCUAUCAGCUUGUUGGUGGGGUAAUGGCCUACCAAGGCGGCGACGGGUAGCCGGCCUGAGAGGGUGGACGGCCACAUUGGGACUGAGAUACGGCCCAGACUCCUACGGGAGGCAGCAGUGGGGAAUAUUGCACAAUGGGCGGAAGCCUGAUGCAGCGACGCGGUGUGGGGGAUGACGGCCUUCGGGUUGUAAACUCCUUUCGACCGCGAGGAAGCCACCUGGGUGGACGGGUGGUGACGGUAGUGGUAGAAGAAGCACCGGCUAACUACGUG